ensembl:lncRNA
AUGCUGUGGCUGCCCUCCUAUUAUGCCAGACUGCCCCUUUCUCUCUGUUUCUCCUCCUCAGCUACUGACGGGCUCCUGCUCCUUUGGCUCUUUGCAUAUCUGCCUGUCCCCUGCUCUCACCUCCCCAAAGCACCAAGCCAGAUCCAGCCUUCACCUCUGCAUCACAGGCAGCUUCCACCAAUGCCAGGUUUCAGUUUCCUCCCGAUGUCAAAUUUCAGCCCAGCCCACGAAACCCACCCCCUGCCUCGGCUCCUGCGUCGGGGGCUGGAAAACCCUCCUGUGCUCACAUCUUUGCAAGAAACAUUUGCAGGGAAGCAGCAGCACAGGGCUGUCCUGGAGAGCAGCUUCCCCUCUGGUUUUUAUAACACAAGAAACAUCAGUAAAAUGGAAAGGGUUUUCAUCAGAUCCAAGCAAUCAAGGAGAAAGGAUGUGUUCAGACUAAGUAUCUCAAGAAUCAUUAUUCACAGACAGAUGACCCUCCAAGAAGCAAAGCAAGCUGAAAGACAAUGUUGAAAAUGCUAUAAAAGUGCAGGCACAGGCAACUGAAGAGAUCUGCAGUGAAGAGAUCUGCUGUGUAUGUGGAUGGACGAGAUGACAUCCCACAGCUUCUAAGGAAUACUGUUUUCACCAUAACAGUGUUUUCUAUUGCUGUUAGAAAACCUUGAUGCCUUCUUUUGUUCUGGUUGUGAAGCAGUGCACUGACCACAGGGGAAAACAUUAAAAUACAGCAUACAAUAGAAUUAAAGACUCAGCAGAUGGAAAAUGGAAGAGCAUGCACUUGCUAGGUAAGCAAGACAUCACUGUCAUUUUGUUAUUAAUGUCACAAAUGACAUUCCUAUAAACAUGGCCAGCUCUGCUCUGCUCAAUAUUUGUUAAGUAAGAUAAAGUAUUUCACCUAGCAUAAGGGCACGGCAAUUAUGAUGAUGCCCUGUUCAUUCAACCAGUAUAUACAGGUAUCAACAACAGCAUGCAGAUGGGUAGAUAAACCCAGAAAUGCUCCGAGUGCCACUGCCAGCUCACACUGGUGUGAUGGUCCCAGGUCACUGCCUGGAAGGUACAACUCUGAUUCCACUUUAACUGAAUCUGCAAUAUUUAUUUUGUAUCCAUUGUGCAUGAGUUUGAGUUUGUAUUUUCAGCUCCUGGGGGAGAGGGGAUUAAUAGGAAAGGGAAAGAAUGAAACAGAGAGGCACUAGUUUUAGGAACAUCGUGAACAACUCCGUAUCUCAGCUCUGCUACUUAACAACUGCACUACAACCACACUGCAAAGGUGGCAGGUGACAGCCUCACCCAUAUAUAUAUCUCCAACUUCCUUUCUGCCAUGCUGGCAGAAAAGCACAGAUUCAGGUUUCUAACCAUUUUGACACCACAAUGCAGAAAGCCUGCGGCAUAGAAAUGCUCUCAGUGGUAUAUGUACGGGGAACUCUGUAAGGGGUUAAUUCUGCUCUAAGGGAUUUUAUGCAGAUAGAAAUCACAGAGGUCAAAAGCCUAAUAGGAUUUUGAAAAAUGAUUGGACAAUGCAGAAUACCCACAGUUAUGGUAGAGAUCAUAGCUUUAGAGAUAAUAAUAUAUUUUAGGGGACAUUAAACCCCCCUCCAGCUGCAGAAUAGAAGCCAGUCAUUAAGCUGCUUAUGAUUACAGACAAACUUCCCCGCAUGGGCUUCAUAUUUCAAAGCUGCCAAGUGCCAGAGAUUUAUGCCAUUUUCCUCAGAAGCCACAAGCAACUCAGAAGCUGUACUGUACACUGACCCAAUACUGAAAGAUGAUACCGAAAAAAAUAUAACAACUUCUAGUUUUCAUUAUAAUCUCUGAUUACACAUAUGUGUGAAGCAUUUCAGCAAGCUCCAAGAAGUGAAGGCCUGCAAGACGUGAAGCUCUGUGCAGUCCUAGACAUGCCUGGCCAAGCACAAGAGAGCAUGAAGGCAGGAGCUUGGGUUUUAUUAACACUGCUCCAGCAUUGUGCCCUGAGGAGCACCCUGAGGAAGUUAAGCAAUAAUAUAUUCUGAAUGUAGUAUUUUCCAUGCAGUGCCCUUCAAGCAUCGGAAGGAAGCCCUGAUACCAAGCCAACUGCAGCUCAGCAUUACUGCAGGGGCGCAAAAACUGGCUGAAGACCAGCACUAUUUUUCUUUGGAGCAGCUACCAUGUCAAGAUGGAGAGAGAUUCCUUCUCCUGGCAAUCCAGCAUCCUAAAAUGUCCAGUUAGGCCACUGAAAUCCAACCCUCUGUAACCUCUUCUACAUUAUAAAGGUGGUUCAGACGAUUAUUUAAGACAUUGUUCAUACCUCUUCUGUGUUUCUUCUGCGGUUUUCUCUGAGGUAGGACCUGAUCUAGUAGGCAGUUCUGGUGAUGGAGAAGCACUCUCUUCCUAGGCACAAACAGAAUAUUUGAGUAUACGUCAGAAAUAAUCAUAUUUGCCAGACAAGACAAGAAGGAAAAUUCACAGUCAGAGCUGGAAUAUUAUUGCACCAUAUGCUUUCCAACAGCCAAGCACAACAGGGUCCCUCCACAAUCCUUGCCUUACUGCACCCUGUUGUAUUUCCACCUGGAAAGACAUAUGGCAGUGCCUUAGAGAAAAAUCCUUCCUUUUUCUUUUUUUUUUUCUGAUCUUAAUGUAAUUUUCCAGCCUUAAAGGAUCAUUCAAUUACGAAACACACUCAAAAAAAAAAGUGCCUGUUCCCACUAAUGACAAAAACAAGUCCAUAGACCUGUUGGUAUUAUGACCAAAUAAAAACUUGAAAGAACGACCUGGAUUCUACUUU